GACAGAGGUGCCGAGCGUUAGGCGGAAUCACUGGGCUUAAAGCGUGUGUAGGCGGAUGCCUAAGUACCUUGUGAAAUCCCCCCGGCUUAACCGGGGAACUGCUUGGUAUACUGGGUGUCUUGAGCCACUUAGGGGCGACCGGAACAAACGGUGGAGCGGUGAAAUGCGUAGAUAUCGUUUGGAACGCCAAUGGUGAAAACAGGUCGCUGGGAGUGUGCUGACGCUGAGACACGAAAGCCAGGGGAGCGAACGGG
rnacentral:rRNA from 1 species